CCAGACUCCUACGGGAGGCAGCAGUGGGGAAUAUUGCACAAUGGGGGAAACCCUGAUGCAGCGACGCCGCGUGAGUGAAGAAGUAUUUCGGUAUGUAAAGCUCUAUCAGCAGGGAAGAAAAUGACGGUACCUGAUUAAGAAGCCCCGGCUAACUACGUGCCAGCAGCCGCGGUAAUACGUAGGGAGCGAGCGUUGUCCGGAAUUACUGGGUGUAAAGGGAGCGUAGGCGGGACGGCAAGUCAGAUGUGAAAACUGAGGGCUCAACUUUCAGACUGCAUUUGAAACUGCUGUUCUUGAGUGAAGUAGAGGUAAGCGGAAUUCCUAGUGUAGCGGUGAAAUGCGUAGAUAUUAGGAGGAACACCAGUGGCGAAGGCGGUCUGCUGGACAGCAACUGACGGUGAGGCGCGAAAGCGUGGGGAGCAAACAGGAUUAGAUACCCGAGUAUU
rnacentral:rRNA from 1 species